UUUUUUGUGAUUUGUGUGAUUUCAACGAGAUCUGCACUGAAACUCAAUUAUUCUGUCAUCUUGGAAAACAUCUAAGGAAUAAAGAAAGUCUUCUGUGCCCCUUUCAGAAAUGUGGAUUCCAAACAAACAAUCUCUCAACAUUUAGCAGUCAUAGAACAAGAAAACAUAAAAAUCACACCAUCAAAGAUUUCAGAUUAGUACGUAAGGAAUCAGAAAAAGACUUAGAUGACACAGAGCCAGAGGUGAACAGUGAUCUUGAAGAAGGACCUUCAUCACAUGACCAAGAAAAAUCUAUAGAACCGGACACAGAAAGUUUUAAUGCUGAGACGCUUGAGCAUAAACUUGCACAUCUUUUUCUUUCUAUGCAAACUGUAUUGCAUAUUUCUAAAAGUGCAAUACAAAAAAUAGUAGAGCAGUUCCAUGACAUCUUGUAUUUUUCUAAGUUCAUUGCUGUUGAUAAAGUAAGAGAAAUACUUGCUAAUCAUAACAUAUCAGAUUAUCAGGUUGCCCAAGACAUUACAGAUGCAAUUUUUCAAACAAAUCCUCUUCUUGUAACUACAUCUGCGCGAGGCAAAUUAUCUACAGAUUACAGAAGAAAUUUAUAUUUUAAAGAGCAAUUUGCAGUGAUCGAACCUACUGAAUAUUUGUAUGACAAAUCAAAAAAAAAUUCUUAUGUUUAUGUUUCUAUUACAAAGCAGCUAGAAUGUUUACUUGGCCAUAAAGAAUUUUUGGACAAGGUUGUAUUUAAUCAGGAGUCUUUGCCUGGCCAUUACAAGUCUUUUCAAGAUGGAAGAUACUACAAAGAGAACAAACUGUUAGGUGAAGAGGAGAUUAGUAUUUCUUUGGGGUUAUACAUUGAUGACUUUGAAGUCUGCAACCCUCUCGGCACCUCAAGGAAGAUACAUAAAAUUACGGCUGUAUAUUGGGUCGUUCUGAAUUUGCCAUCAAAAAGUCGCUCCACUCUAAAUUUAAUUAAUCUGGCAGUUCUGGGAAAGAGUGAUGAUGUGCGGUUGUUUGGUUAUGAAAAGUUCUUCGACCCAUUAUUAAAGGAUUUAAAGUCCCUAGAACAGGUGGGGAUAUUUGCUCCAGCUCUACAGCAGUACAUAAAGGGUACUGUGUUUUGCGUUUGUGCAGACAAUCUUGGUGCCCAUGGCCUUGCAGGCUUCCAAGAAAGCUUCAUUGUGGAGAAAUUUUGCAGAUUCUGCUUAAUAUCUCAAAAACAAAUUGCCAACACUGAGCCUGGAGAUUUUUUGUUAAGAACUCCAGAACAACACAACUCUCUGGUGAAGGAACUUCAAAGAGGUGACCAGCCCCAAAGUUUGAAUGGUGUGAAAAAGGAGUGUGUUCUCAGUAAGCACUUAUCCUACUUCCAUCCAAUUACAGGAUUUCCUGCAGAUGUUUUACAUGACUUUUUUGAAGGAAUUGUUCCUGUUGAACUAUCUCUGUGUCUAAAGGACUUGAUUUCAAAACGAUUUAUAUCGCUAGAUGAACUGAAUAGUCGUAUCAAAGCAUUCCCUUACAAAUAUGCAGACCGUGUAAAUAAACCACAGAAAAUUCCCAAAUCUAGUUUUGCCAAGGGAACAAUUGGUGGCAAUGGGCACGAAAAUUGGGCACUCUUACGAUUGCUACCUCUCAUUAUCGGAAGCAGUAUCCCUGAAAAUGACCCGGCAUGGGAGAUUUUAAUGGACCUUAAACAGAUUGUGGAAUUGGUUGUUUCUACAAAGUUUUCAGAAGAGACAUUAUGCUAUUUGGAGGCUAAAAUAGCAGAUCAUCGAAAGUUACUCACAGAGACCUAUCCAUAUUUGAAAAUACGACCAAAACACCACUUUGUCGAUCAUUACCCACACCUGAUCCGCUGCUUUGGGCCAUUAGUGGAAUUAUGGACCAUCAGAUUUGAAGCCAAGCACAGUUUUUUCAAAAAAGUGGUGCACGAUACACACAAUUUCAAGAAUUUGCUUCUCACUCUGGCAACAAAGCAUCAGCAAAUGUCUGCAUAUUAUUUAGAAGGACAUUCUCUCUUCAAGCCACAGUUAUAUGUUGAGAACAUUAAAGUGGUUGAGACCAGUUCUUUGGAUACAACACUGAGGGUAGCAGUCACGAAAAAAUAUCCUCACAAGAAAACUGUUUCUUUAUGCUCUGAUGUACGUCUGCAAGGUGUCCGAUAUGUUAGGGACAUGAUCAUUUCUGCUGGCCAGUGCAGUGGUUUGCCAGAAUUCUUUAGGAUUGUUAAUAUUAUGAUUGAUGAAAACAAUGUAUCAUUUAUCUCUAAAAAACUUUCAUCCUGGUAUUUGGAACAUUACAGAUCCUUUGAACUUACUGAAAGCAGUUACGCAUCAAUAGAUCUUCUGGAGCCUGAGUCUUUGAAUGAUCCCAAUCCACUGCAAGCAUAUAAAGUAGGAGGAAAGCUGCUGGUGUCUCUAAAAGUCUUCCUCCUCCAUUAAAAGAAAUGUGGCUUCGGGUUUACAUCUCACCCCAAAACAUUAGGAAGAUCCAACUUCCACAACUGCCGGCCUCUGUGGAUGAUUUGCAAGCAGAGUUGAAAUCGAAGUUACAGCUUCAGGGAGAGUUUUUGCUCCAAUACGAGGACCCCGAUUUUGGAAAUGAACUGUGCAAUUUAUCAGACAUUUCUGAACUGCCUGCUGAAAAGGCUGUGUUAAAAAUUGUGUGGGACAAAGAUUCAUCUGUUCUUGAUCAGUCUGAUACACAAUCUGUUUCCUCACUUGGUACUGCCAGUGUGUCAUCAUCUGCUUCUACCGAGACCCCAUCAGCCAUCAUUCAGGGCAAUAUGAGAAGUACAUCACAGUGGCCGUCACCCUUUCCAAUUCCUACUUUCUCGUACGAUGUCGAGCUUAGGCUUCACAAAGGAAAUGACGUUUAUGAUCAAACAAACAAAGCUUUAAGUGUACCAAGAGAAAUGAAGUCACACAUUUUAGAAAAACUUGCAGAGACAAUAUUUGCUUUGAAAGCAUAUCCACACCCUGAGGAAAUUGAAGAUGUUGCUUCUUCACUCGUACUGAAGCAUCCCUGCCUUACAGAGCCAGGUAAUGGCAAAGGAUUUGAAGGCUGGAAAAUGAGCAUAAAGUACAAACUUGGCAAUUACAGAUCCAAACUACGUUCAGCUGGUUGCAACGAAGUCAGUAUCAACAGGAAAAGAGGAGGAGGUGACAGGACAAGUACUGUGAAAAAGGCCAAACGAGGAGAGGUUAAUUAUUUGCCUGAUCAUCCUAAAGGCCAGUCUGAUGAUUCUCUGGAGGAGGAAAGGCUCAUCUUGGUUGAGGAAAUUAAGAAGAAAACCAAGAAUGAAGUGCUCAUCAAUCAGAAAAUGAGCUUGACUUUCUCCCUCCGACGAAAGGAGAUUGUGGAAGUAGUGCCAAUGGUAUCUGAAGUGCUGGAACGAUGGCCUGCCCUGUUUCUUACAAAUGAGUUAUGUAAUGAGUUCAAACGCAUCACUAGUGUGGACCUCCUCGAGACAUUCAGAGCAUCAAUACACCAGCACACUCCGCAACUCCUCAAGCUAUACAGAGCAAGAAAGGGGGCAUUUGGAACAGAAAUGGAAGAUCUUCUCAACAAGCUUGAUCAGCAGACCACAAAUAUUGUGACUCACAGAAAGCAAACCGUCCUGGAAGGUCUCCCCAUGUUUCUACGAGAAGAUUCCUCUGUACUUUUUAAAACAUGCCUGGACAAGACUCCAGAGGACAGACAGACCAGAGGGAUGAAGGUGGGAAUCCUUAUUGUAAUUGAAGAUGAUGCCCCCCCCAGCACACUGCCCAGUGUCACAAAAUUUGCUGUUGUGUUGGAGGAGGUGAUUGUACUGAGAGAUGCUCCAGACUUGCAGUCUGCACUUGCAUACCUGUUUGGCCUUCUGUUUGCCUUGGACUUUGAGUACCCAAAGCAACUGAAAUACACUUUUGAGGUUAUUGAGAAAGUGUUUAUGGAGAUGGGCACUCAUUGCUCUGCUAGGGUACAGUCCCUCAAAACUAAGCUAUUACUGUGAGAUGCAUUUGUGAGAUGUUUGUAUCUUACAUUUAAGAUGCAAGUAGAUCGUUUUUUUAUAUUUGCUUGCAUUUUGUUUGACUCAUUUUUGUUUAAACUGUUAACUUGAGGUUGUGAUAAACCUUGGUGCCACUGUUUCAGCACUUACAGAACAAACGUUAACUUGCACUUAUGGUAUAAAGCUGCUCAGUUGUAACAUAUUCAGUGUUUACAAUUUAAAAUGUAAACCAUUUAAAAGAUAAAACAUUUAAAGUAUUUAUGAACAGUUGAAUGUUAACACUUUGAAUGUAAAAGUACUCUUUUAAAAAAAAUGUUUUAUUCUUCUGCCUACUCUUUUUUUAUUUCUUUUUUUAACGAUAAGGAGUAUGGCUAGUGGUAAACAUUGUUUGUUUUUUCCAUUUCCACACCAACGUGUUGCUGCUGGUUUAAAAUAAA